UAAAAAAAUCCCACUCCCACCGGCGCGCCUCCACGUCCACCAUCGCCGCCGCUUCUCCGAUACUCCCGCUGCGCUCCUUCCUCCCAGCUCUACCGCCGCUCUCUACCCAUUCCAAUCGCCCCAUCCCACUCCCACCGCCGAGCCUCCACGUCCACCAUCGUCGCCGCCGCUUCUCGGAUACUCCCGCCGCGCUCCUUCCUCCCAGUGCUACCGCCGCCCUCUACCCCUCUCCCAUCGACCCCCGAACCUCCUCUACCAGCGCUAGGGUUUGAUUCGCUACCAUGAAUUCGAAGAAGCGACAUCUCGAUCUGCUGCGGAAGCGCUACCGCUUGCCAAUCAGCCUACUGAGACGCACGAGACCCCUCCGGGCUCGCCCUUGCGAGAGACCGGCUUCGAGGUGUCCGCAGAUGCACGAGGAAAGCUCAAGGUCACAGGAUUGGUCACCUGCGUUGAAGACGCACGACAUCUGACCAACCUGUGCGCUGUCAGAGGUAUUGACAAGCUGAUGAUACGGUACGCUGACUACGUCUCUUUGUCGUGCGUUGACGCACUGAAGCACCACAUCACCGCUGCUCGCGAGGGAGAAGCUGGUUCUGCUGCCUUGAAGGUUGUGAUCUUAAACCCCGGCGUCGCCAAAGAGAAGGCCAGGUUGCUAGCCAAGCUGGAUACCUUGUCCACGAAGCUCUUUGAUGUUCUGAGUCUAGCAGGCAAAGACAGCACACCCCAACAGCAGAAACGGUUAGAGGAUCUACGCUUUCAGAUUGAUAUGGCUCUUGAAAAGGCAACUGUGCAGGCAGCCUCUGCAGAGAUCAUCAAGAAGGGUCACUUGGAUUGGCUCCUUCUCCUCGAGCUUAGUUUUGACGCACCUCCUGCAGCGCGCCAAGAAGGUAUGUGGCUACUGAAGCAUCUUUAUCCAGCAGAACACGAAUACAUUCACUUGGGUGGAAAGGUUGUCGCAGUGGCACUUGAGAUGGUCCGUAAGCGAAUUCAAGAUAGAGUUGUUGAUCGCGAGGACAUACCUUCAGGUGCCAAUAUACGUGAUGCUAGACAGAGUCUUCUAGGUGCUGUAGGAAGGCAUCACCUCGAGUCCAACUUGGCCUUGUUACUUGGAAAAGCUUGCCGAGUGAUGGCUCAAUACCUCAAAGAGGAGGUCUCAAAAUUAGAGAUGUCUGAGGUAAUCAACUUGCAGCUUCACGCUAUACAGAACCUGAUGAGCAAGAGGUCUCUUAUCGGGUGUCGGUUUGUCGACUUAGAUGAUGACAUCGAUGCUGACACUGAGAGUGAAGAGAGUGCUGAUAGUGGCCAUGAGGGUAGUAUUCAAGGCGAGCAUGACCCUGAGUAUGAGAAUGACAACAUCAUAUCUGCUGAAGAUCUGGAUGAAAAUGAUGAUGACAUGAUUGUUCAUGAUGAGGAUGGAGAUUUAUAUGAUGAAGAGGAUGGGGUGUCUGUUAAUCAGCACAGUUCAGGUGGUUCAGAGAGUAGUGUGGACAGCCCUAUACAAGCAGAGCCUGCACCUAAAGAUGAAACUCCUAUCAGCGCAUCUAGCUUUGUGAGCACCCUCUCUGAAAUUGGGGAUGCUGACUUUGCACUACUACUCAAACUUGAACACAGUGAUGAAGAUAAAUAUGAGGAUGGUAACCUUGAAAAGAGUGGUAAGAUUUUAAGUCAUGCUUGUCAAUCGAGGUAAACUUUCUGGUGCCCCAUUACCUGCGCUUACUAAUGCUCAGUAUGCCUCCACUGCUGCUCUUUCUCCAUCGUCCACUGCAGCCCUCUCACCUGCCCCUGCUGCUCCAGGUGCUUUUGCUGCUGCGUCAGCCUCAAGAAGGUCUUUACCGAAAGGAGACUCAGGCAGAGAGCAUCAACAUAAUGCUUCAGGUGACUCCAAGAAGAACAAACAGGUUGAUCUUGUGGAUUUGGAUUCACCGGGUGGUGAGGGCUCCUCUGGUGCGGCCUGAAGAUGGGAGGCUGUCUAGUUCCGUUGCGGCUUUAUUGGGUUCCUUUAUCCUUUUGGUCUUAGUUACCUAUAAGGUGGUCUGACGAGGGUUGUAAUUCCUUAAUACCUGUGGCUCAAACUAUUAGGUGUUGGUUGGUGACCCAAAGGUGAUCUGAUGUGGGUUGUUUUACCUAUGGCUCAAACUAUUAGGUGUUGGUUGUAAUUCCUUAAUACUGCUCUGAAUUUUCAUUGUGCCAUCUGCCAGAAGGAUGUCACGUGCUGCUCGCUGUUUCUUCUCUCGUUGUAAGACUUGUAUUUCCAUUAUGUCAUAAUGGAAAUGAGGAGAUCCUUGAUUUUUUUUUUAAAAAAAGAUUAGAGAUUGGCAAUUUGAUGUUGAGUUGUUCUGCGCCA